UUUUGUUGAAAGAGUCAUUAACAGUUGGAAGUUGAUGGCAGUUUCAGUAACAAGUGAUCACCGAGAAAAGGAUAACGCUAUAAUAUGCAGAAAUCUACGAAUUCUGAUACCUCUGUGGAAACACUGAAUUCCACCCGUCAAGGCACCGGAGCUGUGCAAAUGAGAAUCAAAAAUGCCAACAGCCACCACGACAGGCUGAGCCAAAGUAAAUCCAUGAUCCUCACCGAUGUUGGGAAGGUCAUUGAACCCAUAUCCCGACACAGAAGGAAUCAUUCACAGCAUGUCUUGAAAGAUGUCAUUCCUCCAUUGGAACAAUUG